rnacentral:rRNA from 1 species
UAGGACGAACGCUGGCGGCGUGCCUAAUACAUGCAAGUCGAACGGUCUUUCUAUGGAAGCUUGCUUCCACUGAGAAGAUAGUGGCGAACGGGUGAGUAACACGUGGGUAACCUGCCCAUAAGAGGGGGAUAACAUCCGGAAACGGGUGCUAAUACCGCAUAGUUUUCUUGAUCGCAUGAUUGAGAAAGGAAAGACGGCCUUUGUGCUGUCGCUUAUGGAUGGACCCGCGGCGUAUUAGUUAGUUGGUGAGGUAACGGCUCACCAAGACGAUGAUACGUAGCCGACCUGAGAGGGUGAUCGGCCACAUUGGGACUGAGACACGGCCCAAACUCCUACGGGAGGCAGCAGUAGGGAAUCUUCCGCAAUGGACGAAAGUCUGACGGAGCAACGCCGCGUGAGUGAAGAAAGGUUUUCGGAUCGUAAAACUCUGUUGUCAGAGAAGAACAAGUUGGAGAGUAACUGCUCCAGCCUUGACGGUAUCUGACCAGAAAGCCACGGCUAACUACGUGCCAGCCGCCGC